AGUGCUUAAGAAAAAAAAAAAAAAAACAACACAAGAAAAAAAAGUCCCAAACGCAUGAGGAUUGAUUUAUCAUCGGAGUCGGAGUGGUAUGGGAAGAAGCCAUCGCUGCUCGCCUGCUCCCCACGACAGCUCGCCCGCCAUUUGCUUAAUUAAAAUCAUAUAUUGGUGUGAUCAGACGUGAUAAUACCAUUAAAAAACCCCAAAUCCCCUAACAUCCACACGCUCGUUGUUGGAGGCUGUAGCCAAGUCCAUGAUGGAAGUUUGUGCCUGAAUGUUUUAUUUGUUCCACAGAGAUGUAGAUUUUCCUUGGGAGAUUUGGGAAGGAUUAUUUUUUAAUGAAAAAGAGGAAAAAAAAUACACCCAGGAAAAAAAAACCACCAAAACAAACAAUGAAAAAGAAACAAAAAGGAAAAAAGCACAGCAGAACCAAUCCGGAGUAAGUGAAGCUGCAAAUGCAACCCAAUAGUCCUUAUCAGACAAUUCACAGCACAAAAAAAGGAUAAAUGGAACUGCAAUGGCCGGCUUUGCUGUAGAUCCAGGAGGAGGGAUCAGCUCCUUUAUCCCACCAUGUCGCGCUAAAAACACCACCAUUUUUUUUUCUCUCUCUCUCUUUUUUUUUUUUUUUUUUUUUUUUUUUUUUUUUUUUUUUUUUAAUACGCUUUGUUGGGGCGUUUUGUUUCGAGCCGAGGCGGCUGCACCACCCCCUGAGCCGGGGCUGCCGGAGCCGCUCGAGGGCUUCACUUUUACAGAGAUCUCUUAUUUUUCCCGGCCUUGUGCAGUCCUCUCCCUUUUAUUACACGGGUUUGGGUUUUUUUUUCCUCUCCCCUCUGCGGGUAUAAAGGUUUCUCUCCUCUCUCCAGCUUGGCUGCUUGUUCCAGAAGUUUCCACGGGGGCAGGGAGCCCCCACUGCGGCGCCUUUGCCGCAGCGCCGGGCAGGAGGAGGAGGAGGAUGCGGAGGAUGCGCCACCUCUCCCUGGCUGGGAGCCUCAUUCCAAGCCGCUCCCCCUUGCUCCGUUCCCCAGCCUUGAAAACAGAGCACUGGGAGGUGUUUGCGUCUUGGAGGGGUUUGGGGAUUUUUUUUUUUUUUUUUUUUGGUGGGUUUGGGUUUUUUUUUGUUUUUUCCACUCUAAAUAAAUGGAAAGCAGAGCUGUCGCUGAUGGAGAUGGAUGAGGCAGGGUUGGCAGCGCCGCAGCUCUGCUCCUUCGUGGCCAUGGCACCGAUGGCUUAAGUGACCUUUCCCAGGCGGUGGAAGAGGGAAUUCCCCCUCCGCCCCAGCAUGCUCCUGCUCGGAAUUCAUUUUAAAUAGCAGGAGUAUUAUUUUUUUAUUUUCCUUCCCCCCCUCCCAUUUCUCUUUCACUGUUUUGUUUUGGUUUUGUUGGUUGGUUUUGUUUCUUUUCCCGAAGCUUCCUCAUGAUCUUUUAUUUUUUUUUUCCUCUGUGUGUUUUGAAUUGCAUUUUAAAAUUCCCCAGCUGGAGACAAGGCUUGAUUAGAACUGGAACAAUAGCUCCUUUUUAUUAAUAACGGGAAGGAUUUACAAUCGUACAGCACCUUCCUUGGAAAGCUUUCCAAACCAUUUGCAAACACUCACAAAUUUCAGAUUGUGCAGCCCUUGGCUGUGAGUGCUGGAAUCUGCAUUGGCAGGUGUGCAAAUGUGGAGAGUGUAACAGCAGCAAGUGAGGAUGGAUGAGCUGUUUUCUGGGUUCACAUCCAACUCCAGAGAAGAAACCCUGUUUUCCCUUAAAAGGUGAUCUUUUGCAGCCUGGAUGGCCAUAGUCCUGUCUAGUGAUGAAAGCCCUGUGUUUGAGGAGAACUCUAGUGAGCUGUUGUGUAAAUGGAGCCCUCCUGGCACUCAUCUCAACCCUCUCCUGUCAACAGAGUCGAUGGCUUUGUUUGUGACAGCUCCCAGCCCUGCAUGUCCCAUGAGAUGGCCGAGUGACAGCAGUGACUCCGUGUGAGAUGCUCUGGAAGGACCUGGGAUCUGGAGUGGUUUCCUCCUGUCUCUUGGAGAUGCCACCCCAGCAGGGAGAAAGAACAGUUGGGAUUGCAGUUCCAGCAAGUGCUCUCCAUCAGAGAGGGAGAAUUUGUCAUGUAAAAGCUGUUUGAUUUUUGGGCAGUUUUGGUUUGGGCUUUUCAUCUCUGAAAUUGAGACCCCCUUAAAGGCAGAGAUAUGUACAGACUGCUCCUUGGGCUUCCCAUCAGGUAAAAAAAUGGAAAGCUGAGCCCAGUUCCAUACUGGAAGUGCCGGUGGAGCGUGCUGGCGGCGCAUUUUCUUGUGUGCACGUGGCUCCAUCACACGUUUUGAAUAAUAGAUGGUUUGCGUGCAAGGAAUUGUUGGGGUUUUUAAUUAAUCAGUAGAUCCCAGUUUGGCAGAGCCCAUCAUCACUGGGGAAACUGAGGCAUUGGGCUGCCAAAGGAUGGGCUUGCAGCCACUGGAGUCGGGGAUAAGGCUUGGGGCCACCACAGCUCGAGUCCAUGCACGUCAGAGAUGUGAUUAAAUCAGGAGAUUUGCAUGUUUGUUAAGCCACUACAGCUCGGUGACUUUGACCAGUAGCAAGGUGGACUUGUUGCCGGAAGGUUACGGUGUUCGGCCAGACUGGGUGGCAAAAGGCAGCUGUGACAAAUAAAACAUGGGGUUGAUCAAUACCAAAACGUCAUCAGCAGACUUUGGCCAUGGAAAAUACUGAAAUACAGGUUUGCUCUGUGGUGAAAGCAGCGAAGGCUGUAAACACCAACACUCCUGGCUGUGGGUGUGUUUUAUCCUGACCUCAAGCUGCUCAGGGUCUCACAAUGGGAUCUAAUUUUCAUUUUGGGUCAUAGAAAUAGGUGUCUUAUCAGUGCAGUGGCAUAUUUUGGUGGAAAAGAAGUUUUUGUGGGUUAAAAAAUGUCUAGUUGUAUGUUGCAGAGCUGGUGUGUGACAUGUCAGGCAACUAGAGACGGGUGAUAUUGGCAACGGGCAGUUUCUUCACCCUGUGUUAAUUAAGGAGCUGUGCCAGCCCCCGUGGGGGAGCGGGAGGUGAAUCCUUCCCACAGUGGGAGUUUCUCCUGUGUGGUUUCCAGGGCAGCCUGGUCUCCCUUCUGUUGGAGGAAGUACAACUCAGGACACCCUGCUUCGGUGGAGGGAGUGUCUUAGGAUGACACGUUGUCCCUGUGUCAGUAGAGAGGAGCAUGUAGAGCAGCCAAGGGGGUUUGGUGAUCCCCCUGCAGCCCCACUGGCGGUUCCUGCUGCUCUGGCCUUUGGAGCCCUUAGACACCAGAGCCAUGGCAGCAUGGGGCCCUCCCUGCCAUCACCUCCAUUCACUUUUUACUUGUCUGCCCCGUGGCCACGGCUGGGUGUGUGCACACCUGGGGAUGAAGGUAGCUUGUGCCCCAGGAUUUUGGAAUCCUUUUGGGAUUAGGGGGAGCUGUAGGUUUGGGGGUCAGCAGGGCCCCCUGGCUAGGUGAAGCCCCUUUGAGCUGUGCCAGCAGGACGUUACCCUUGCAGUGCAACCCGGUCUGUCUCUCACAGCUCCCUGUUCCAACUCCCCCAGCCCAGCACUGUGAAUCUCCCAGUCCCUUUUCUCACAGCCCUGUCACGACUCCCAGAGCCCCCGAACAUUUCUCACAGCCCCUCACUACAAUUCUUGCAGAGCCUGUUACAUCUCUCACAGCCCCAUUACAAUUUUCAAAGCCCCUGUAAUGAUCCUCACAGCCCCCCAAUAAGACUCAGAACCCCUCGUUGUCUUACAACCCCCCAUUGUCUGAUUCUCCCACUGUUUCACAAUCCUAAUUCUCUCGUCCCUCCGUUUCCCGCACCCCCACCCCAAUUCUCUUGUCCCUCCGUUUCCCACACCCGCCACCCCAAUUCUCUCAUCCCCCCGUUUCUCACACCCUCACCGCAAUUCUCUCGUCCCCCCAAUUCACUCGCACCCCCACCCCAAUUCUCCCAUCCCCCCGUUUC